UGGGGAAGUAUUGGGCAAUGGGCGGAAGCCUGACCCAGCAACGCCGCGUGAAGGAAGAAGGCUUUCGGGUUGUAAACUUCUUUUCUUGGGGACGAAGAAAAGUGACGGUACCCAAGGAAUAAGCCACGGCUAACUACGUGCCAGCAGCCGCGGUAAUACGUAGGUGGCAAGCGUUAUCCGGAUUUAUUGGGUGUAAAGGGCGUGUAGGCGGGACUGCAAGUCAGAUGUGAAAACUAUGGGCUCAACUCAUAGCCUGCAUUUGAAACUGUAGUUCUUGAGUGCUGGAGAGGCAAUCGGAUUCCGUGUGUAGCGGUGAAAUGCGUAGAUAUACGGAGGAACACCAGUGGCGAAGGCGGAUUGCUGGACAGUAACUGACGCUGAGGCGCGAAAGCGUGGGGAGCAAACAGGGAUUAGAUACC
rnacentral:rRNA from 1 species